rnacentral:rRNA from 1 species
AACGAACGCUGGCGGCAGGCCUAACACAUGCAAGUCGAACGCACCUUUCGGGGUGUUUGGCAGACGGGUGAGUAACGCGUGGGAAUAUACCCUUCUCUACGGGAUAGCUCCGGGAAACUGGAAUUAAUACCGUAUACGUCCUGAGGGAGAAAGAUUUAUCGGGGAAGGAUGAGCCCGCGUUGGAUUAGCUAGUUGGUGGGGUAAAGGCCUACCAAGGCGACGAUCCAUAGCUGGUCUAAGAGGAUGAUCAGCAACAUUGGGACUGAGACACGGCCCAAACCCCUACGAGAGGCAGCAGUGGGGAAUAAUGGACAAUGGGCGCAAGCCUGAUCCAGCCGUGCCGCGUGAGUGAUGAAGGCCCUAGGGUUGUAAAGCUCUUUCAGUGGGGACGAUAAUGACGGUACCCACAGAAGAAGCCCCGGCUAACUUGUU